GUAACUCUCUCUCCUCGGAGGGCAUUCGGGAAUUAUAAGAACAAAUACCCUGUUGACGAACACAAUCCACUUCGUAAUCCGAGCCCCUUAAAUGAGCCGUUGCAUAACAAAGUGUUCUACUCAAGUAGUCACGUUUCGGCUAUAGCGCGUCGGAUAUCGAGUCGGAGACUGUAUUCAGAUAACGCACCGUAACUGAACCGGGGGAGUUAACCAAACAAACUGUUCCUCUGGCCUUGUUCUACCAGAUUUGGUAGUAUUCCGGUCUGAGUACUAUGGCUUCUUGGAUGAGAAACAUAAAGGGUUGCAUCGACCAAUUUGACCUUGCUCCACCACAACUUGAUCACUUUACGUUUGAAGGGGAACCUGAAAAGAUAGCUGACAUUGCUAUGUUCAUGGCCAACUUUGGAGAAAAGCUAUCAUUACUCAACGUUGAUUUGGAAAAGGAGCUAUUGAUCCUGGUUAAGACAGCGGAUGGCGUGGAUUUAAAGAAAUCACCUUUCUUUUAUAUGGUCGCUGUGGGUCCACACUGUUGUGUAAAGCAUUAGAAGAACUCUCUACAGUCCAAGCAGUGUCAGAGCCAGACAUUUUCACUACUAUUGGUGUAACUAUUAGCCAACUUGAGCGAGAAGUUAAACUUCCUUAUCUUAACAAGAUAUCGCAUGCAACACUAGUAGAUGUGACUCGUGUUGCUAUCCUAUUGUUAAACUACUAUUUCAUUUCUGUAGCACCAGAAAAGACAAGUAUUUGUUAUAAACUCAGGUCAUUUGGUUUAGACGGAGCUGAGAUAAUCCAAGAGUCAACCCCAAAUGCUAAAAACAUUUAUCUAUAUCGAAACUGUUAUGCAUUUGUUGAAAGUUAUAUUCGCAUAUUAGCCAAGAACUACUAUGUUUAUUGGUUACUCUCCACACUUCGUUUAGAUGCUUGGUUCUUGGAUAGACUAUUUCCAAAAAGGGAAACAGAUGUUUUGACUCACUCUCUUGGAAAAACAGCAAAAUUUGAUGAUUUUCCUUUUAGAAAAGGUUUCUAUUGGUGCUUCAGCCAUGCCUGGUGGAUAAAUGUUGAAAAAGCAGCAUUGUUGAUAAAAAAAGAUCCAGAUAGUUUUUUUCAUGCAGUCCUUCGAUAUGAAGAUUUGACCAAACAAAAAGAGAAACUUGUAAAGAGUGUUGCACAACGCUUAGGUGUUAAAUUGGUAAGAGGAGAUGAGCAAAAAAUUGCUUCUGCUUUCACUUCUAACAGUCAGGAAGGUAAUGAAAUAGCAUCAAAGCGUAACACUGAUGAUGACACUGAUGUGUGGUUUGGGGAUUGGGAAAAAGGGCAGAUAAAUGACAUUCUUUCCCAUCUUGGAAAUAAAGUCAAAUCUAGUCAUUACAUUGUAGAGGGCACCAUUUAAAAUCUUAAAGACUCCAAUAACAAUACCAGCAAAGAUUCUUUUUUUUUAUUAAGAUUUGUUUUCCUUGUAUACUUAUUUGUAUUUAAUAUAUAAGGGGACUUCUAGAAGGCACAGUCCUGCAUACACAUAAUGUAUAUAGUAUUUUUUUAAUUUGUUCUGUAUACUUAAGUAAAUAACUUUUCUAAAACUUUGAAGAUAUUCUGUGAUUCCAAGCUUGAAGCAUUAUUUAUAUAUAGCCAUAACUUAUAAAGGAAUAUUUGUCUCAAA